AUAAGAACAGCCAGCAGGCGAUGAAAUGGGCGGUCGACCACCUCCUCAUCAACACCAACUCCAUAAUCCUCGUCCAUGUCAGGACCCAGCCAGAUCUCCUUAAUAGUAGGCAUCUUUCAUGUUCAGCAUCGUCAUUCUCGAUUGCUACCUUGCAACAACAAAAACAGACAUUAUGUUCUAUCUAGUAUCAGAAUGAGCAUAUCAAGUUCAUGUUCAUCCUUCCGAGUUUCGUAUCUAAUUUGACAAGGUUUUCUUUCAUUACUAAUAGCAGAGUAAUAUUUCUGCAGGUGGUUUAUCUGUGACCGAAGCCAACCAAGAAAUGAGCAAAGAGCAAGUGGAAGCUGAGCUUACACAACUCUUUGUUCCAUAUCGUGGAUUCUGUGCUCGCAAAGGGGUAUGCUCUUGCUCCUUAUGUGAAUUAGAAUACAAUGAUAUCACUUAACAUCAAACAGAUAAAAAGUGGCUGAGGCAGAAUAAAGCAUGUUAGAAUCUCAUGAUGCCAUGAUACUAACUUUCAUAUACAAAGUUCAAAAAGCAUAAAUGUCUGAGGCAGAGUAAAGCAAAUUAGAAUCUGAUAACAUCAGGAAUAUUAAAUUUUAUAUGAAACAAGGUCAGCUGCUGCUUCCUUUACUUGCGCUGUAGUCUUCAGCGGUACGAUGAGCCUAGAGCGAGUAAAAUUUCAUGGCAGCCACAGAUGACUUCCUCAUGUGGUGUCCUUGUCAACUGUUCAUGUAAAAGUUUACUUGCUCAUCUUAAGUUCAAAAGAGUUUGUCAAUUUCAUUUUAGAGAUCUGUAUUUUGAUCACGAGGAACAAGUAGUUGUUGCAGAAAACAGAGCUAAUGUGCUACAUUGACAUUGUAGAGUCUCUAUAACAUCGAAAGGAAGCAUUAUUCAUCUAUGGGCUUUUUAUUUUGAUGUAAGGAUCUAGUUCUACAUGAGUGUAAUGACAGGAUUAUAGUUGCAUGAUGAUGACUGAAAGAUGUGUGGAACUGUGAAUUUGGAAAAUGAAGAUGUUCAUACAUACCAGAGUACUGAUCAGGUUGAUAGUCCAAGAUGAUUGAAUUACUCGACCAUUAAUAACAGAACUUUUUGUUGAACUUCUUCCGGAAACAAACAGUUGCAGCUGACGGAGGUGAUUUUGGAAGAUUUUGAUGUCUCGAAAGCCAUCAUCGACUACAUCACCUCAAACAACAUCCAGAAUGUCGUAGUUGGUG
rnacentral:lncRNA from 1 species